rnacentral:lncRNA from 1 species
AAAAUUGCAUUUGGCCUUUGAUUUUUUCUUCUCAAUAGCAAAAUACUCCUUUUUGCUCUUCUAGGGUUUUGACCUCAAGCAAAACACGCCGUCGCCAGACCACCACCAUAUCAGGUGACCGGUAACGCGCGAAAGGCUCCCGUUUCAGACGAAGAACCCGAUCGACGAAGGCUAAACACCGAGGUAAGUACCCCUUUUCUUUUUAUUUAUUUCUUUUAAAAUAGAUUUGAAACCAAAAAUAAGAAAAAAGAUCGAAAGAAAAAAAAAAGAAAAGAGCAUAGAAUCCAAAAACAACCUUUUUUUUUGUUUUUGCUUUUGAUUUCUCGUAUGCGUGUGAAAAUACCAUCUUUUUUGUCUUCCAAAAAUCCCCCAAAUACAAUCGGUUCCCCCUAUUUAUUUUGCUACCCUCUUCUAUUUGUUGCUUGCUGUUUUCUUUCUUUACUUUGCUUGUCUCUCUGCUAUUUUCCUGUUUCGUUUGCUGGUCUAGGCAAAAGUGAUGGGACGGGGUUGGUGCAAGGACGAGCAGAGGGGUCAGGCCUCGAGGCCAGGCGCGGGCGGUGCACUCGAGGCACGUGGGGGAGCAGCGCGGCCCAAAGAGGGGCUCAAAAACCCUAGGGUCUCUGAGUUGGUUUAAGGUCUUGGGCCAUUGGGUCGACAGAAGCUGGGUUUGUUUAUUAUUGUUUGGGCUUGUUAGGCCCGGGCAAAUUUGGGCCCGUACAAUUAUAUUUGAAACUCACCUCUUUAUUUAAGUUACUUUUAUGCAAGAUUAGAAGUGUAAUACAACCAACUUUGAAUCCAAACAAAUUAUUCACUCAAUUAUUUAAUUCGUUCUAUUUAGUCAUCUAAUUAUUAAAUUUUUUCAUUUUACUCAUUUAAUUUUUUGAAAUUAAAUAUUUUAGUCAUUUUUUUAUUAAUUGCCUAACAGUAGUCUAACUUGGUAUUUGUUUUAUUGGCCUAAUAACAAACUAGCCCUUCAAUGUUUACACAUUCUAUCAAUUUAAUCCUAAAUCUAAAAAAUUCAAUAAAUUUAACCUUCAAUGUUUACCAAUUUUACCAUUUUAGUUCUAAUUCCCAAAACUAUAAAACAUAUUUAAAAAAUCUUUAAAAUAUUUUUAUAUUUAUUCAAAAUUUAUAUUUACUUUUUUCAUCAAC